CAGAACGAACGCUGGCGGCGAUGGAUUAGGCAUGCAAGUCGAACGGUGCAGCAAUGCAUAGUGGCGCAAGGGUGAGGAACGCGUGAGUAACCUGCCCUCAAGUUGGGAACAGCUUCUGGAAGCGGAAAUUAAUACCGAAUGUGACCAUUGGAAGGCAUCUUCUGUUGGUUAAAGGCCGCAAGGUCGCUUGAGGAGGGGCUCGCGUCCCAUUAUGCUAGUUGGUGAGGUAACGGCCCACCAAGGCGAAGAUGGGUAGCUGGUCUGAGAGGACGAUCAGCCACACUGGGACUGAGAACUGCCCAGACUCCUACGGGAGGCUGCAGUCGAGAAUUUUGGGCAAUGGACGAAAGUCUGACCCAAGCAAUGCCGCGUGCGGGAUGAAGGUCUUCGGAUUGUAAACCGCUGUCAAGUGGGACGAAACAAAUGACGGUACCGCUGAAGGAAGUCACGGCUAACUACGUGCCAGCAGCCGC
rnacentral:rRNA from 1 species